rnacentral:rRNA from 1 species
UACGAAGGGGGGCUAGCGUUGCUCGGAAUUACUGGGCGUAAAGCGCACGUAGGCGGCUUUCUAAGUCGGGGGGUGAAAUCCUGGAGCUCAACUCCAGAACUGCCUUCGAUACUGGAAAGCUCGAGUCCGGGGAGAGGUGAGUGGAACUGCGAGUGUAGAGGUGAAAUUCGUAGAUAUUCGCAAGAACACCAGUGGCGAAGGCGGCAUCCUGGACCAUAACUGACACUGAUAAGCGAAAGCCAGGGGGAGCAAAACG